GUUUUUGUCUUCUUCUCUUAUGAUUCUAUCUCAUUUCUUAUUCCAUUUCCUACUUCGAUUUCCUUUCCUCUAUUCAGUUUGGGGCUUAAUUUCCAAAUCUUGGGUUUACCAGCAUUAGAACAGUUGUUAACUUCUAGAUCUGUGUUGUUUCUCCAAUUUUAGAGACGUUUGCUAGAGUAUUCUAUUAUAAUAUGUCAAUUUUUUGAGAGCUCAUGCUCUUGUUCUAGUUGAUUUGGUGUAGUCUUAGUUGAUCUGAUCUAUGUUCUUCUCAUUUGCAAAUAUUAAAUUUGGUGCAAUCCCUGAAUCCCAAUGUGGGUUGCUGUUUCCAUGUAAAUCUGUUUGAACAAGUUGAUCUAAUGUGGUUAGUUUAGCGACUUGUAUUUGUUAGU
rnacentral:misc_RNA from 1 species